rnacentral:lncRNA from 1 species
UGGUAAUGAAUAAAACUGACAGAAAAUGACAUUUGGUUCUCAUCAUGCAGAGCUAGCAGGAAGUAGUGGAAUAAUAGUUUUAACUAGGUCUCUGAACUUGCGCUUAAAAACAAUGACUUUCUAAGGUUGACAUUCCUCUAAUAAGAAUCAACUGUUUAAAACGACAUGUCAGUGGCAAACUCACUCGCUCAGCCCAGCUCAAGAACUGAUUUUUACCUAUAUUUUAUUAUUUCUGGAAAAUACUUCGUUCUGUUUUGCCAAUGACCUUGUUACCUAAGGGAGACAACUCUGAUUAACCCCACUGAAGGGAGACAACUGAGAUACAACACUACUGAAGCGAGACAAUUCAGAUUCAACUCUCUUUAUAUAGGGAAGACAGACCAUUUGAUUCACUGUGACUACCACAUGUGGCCAUACCUGUACCAGUGUCCGAACUCUCCCAGCUUGUACUGGCUGGUGUUUUAUAUAUACAUAUAUUUACAUAUAUUUAAUUGUUCUAUAAGACUCCGGAAUUGCGCAGUUGUUUGCUGCCUAUGUUCGUCAGUGGAUGAUGUUGAACAGGGUGUAAUGAAUGUGUAUCAAGUUCGUUUGUUUCGAUCCAGUUUAUCCACAAGCCAACAUAGGAUAAAUUAUUGCUUUCAUAGUUUUAAUUUUUAAAUAUUUGUGAUUUGAUUUUUUACUAUUUGCUGUUUUAUUCCAUUCUUGAUUUUGUGACCGAACGACACAGUCAAUUGUUUGGGUAUUUUUGCUGAGAGGGGAGUGGUCAGUGAGAGAGUCUGGAUUGGGCUGAUAUUUGGCAAGAUUAGCCUUGCCACGUUAGUGUAUUUCCUUCCAUUGCCCGGUGACGAGAUGCUCCUGGCCGUGAUGAAAUGGUAAGAGAAUCAGGCCUCAUAACAAGGUUUUGUAAGCACAUGCUGUCAAUCAAAAACUUGGCUGAUUUCAUUUUAUUUUGAUAAAUAUGUGUAAGUAUCUUGUGUGUAGUCGUCUCAUCAUGUGCCAUAUGUCAGCAAAUCAUAUUGAAGCUCUCAUCUUAAAGGGGGUGUUUCUUACAGACUUUCUGACUCAUUUAGAUGAUGUUAUAUUUUUAUAAAAAGAUCAGGGUCACAAUUGAACUUUGGGUGUUUGGGAGACAGAAACACAAGCAGCAAACUUAAAUGGAUCCCUUAAGUUCCUCUUUAACUAUACUUACAUGGAUGCCAAUUGAGUACCCCUUUAAUGGAGCUCUAGUGUAAUAGUUGACUCCAAAGUAAACCCCUCUUAAACUGAACUUAAGUUGACUCUGAAGUAAAUGCCUCUUAAACUGAAAUUAAGUGAACUCCAAAGUAAGUCCCUCUUAAACUGAAAUUAAGUUGACUCCAAAGUGAAUCCCUCUUUAACUGAACUUAAACGGACUCUAAGCAAAGGUUCACUGUGACUGAACUAAGUUACUGCCAGGCACUCCACUAGCUGAUUGUAGUUGACCUGUGACAGCAGUGUGGGGUGUUUGUGUUGACAAGUGGCCAGUGUCCUGUAAAUGUCCCGUGAUGCAUGGCCAUCACUCAACACAAAGAAGCAAAUAGGAAUUAUAUUUUCAUGUUUAACUGUUUUAGUUUUUGUUGUUUUUAAUUCAGUGAUAGAUCCAUGCGUGUGCUUUAUCUGUAAGUUCAGUACUUUUGUUUGUAUGUAUUUUAUAAGUCUACCAUUCCAUUCAGUGCAGACUGGAAGAACUGUCUUCAGUAUCGUGAAGAGUGAGGUUACUGUAGGUUACCAACACUAUCCUAAAUAGGUGUAGGGUUUGCUGUAGAAAUCCUGUUGGUCCAGGGUUGCAUUAGAAAUCUCUGUUGGUCCAUGGCUGAAGUAGAGCUCUGUGUAGGUCUGGGGUUGGAGUUGAACUCUCGGUUGGUCCAGGGUUGCAUUAGAAAUCUCUUUGGUUGAUGUUUGCAGUAGAAAUCUCUGUUGGUUUGGGUUGCAGAAGGUCCACCAUUGUAACACCAGUACUAUUGCAAGUGUUAAAGAAGGAUCCCCUGUGAGCCCAGGGUUAAAGAAGGAUCCCCUGUGAGCCCAGGGUUAAAGAAGGAUCCCCUGUGAGCCCAGGGUUAAAGAAGGAUCCCCUGUGAGCCCAGGGUUAAAGAAGGAUCCCCUGUGAGCCCAGGGUUAAAGAAGGAUCCCCUGUGAGCCCAGGGUUAAAGAAGGAUCCCAACUCAAGUGCCAGUCUUUGAGUACCAAAGAUUCUGGGGCACUCCUUCACUCACCCACAAGACAUUGAGUUGAACCUGGCCUAAAGUUAGCUCUCCUGCCUGGACAUUUUCUUGGCUUUCACGCUGACAUUGUCUGGGCAUUGUUUCAAAAUCGAUUCAAGACUCUAAAAGUCUUAAAAACAUGCAUUUCAGUUGCAAUGAUAUGGGCAUUUCAUUUUACAAUUUGUGAGUGAGUUUAUGAAAAACGAUUAUCAAAAUAUGCUUGAAGUUAUGUAGAAGUGAUGACGUAGUUGUAUGACAUUGUGCGAGUCACUGAUGGGGUUGUAUGACACUGUGCGAGUCAAUGAUGAUCAGUAGGUCAACAGGAACAUGUCUGAUGCUGUUUAGGAUACUGCAGGGAAAUCUGGAACUGGCUGGUUGACACUUAAGAGGGAGCCUCUAAACUUUUAGAAAAAAUAAUCUUUUCCCAUUAUUCCAAGUGAACAUGACUUGCUAAAAGAACAAAAAGAUGUCAUUUGAAUCAUUGAAGCGAAUACCCAAACAAAAAUCUCCUCUCCCUCUCUCCCCUCUUCCCCCAAAAAUGGUCAACCCCUUGUUGAUUUUUUACAAGUAUAUUAUUCAAACUUACUUUCUUUGGAGGUAAAACGUGCUUAUUCAUUUACUGAGAUAAUGAAGACUUUUAAUUGUAAAAUUACUAAUUUUUAAAUUCCGAUUUGCACAGAGUGUGAUAUUCAUUCCCUAUAACUGAUUGACUGACAGUGGUUAGAAUUGGUGAUCAGAAACCCAUGCUUGUCAUAAGAGACGACUAUUGGGAUCGGGUGGUCCUACUUGCUGACUUCGUGUCCCAAUAGAGAUCCCACUGUCUAGAUCAGAUAACUGUCACAUAGCUGGAAUAUUGCUGAUUGUGGUGGUAAGCAGCAAAAACUACUGAUGACAAGAAAGAAAUUUGCAUUUUUCUUCAUUAUGGAACGGCAUGGGUACAAUGUGUGAAGCCCAUUCCUGGUGUCCCCAGCCGGGAUAUUGCUACAAGCGGCGUUAAACCCAACUCACUCAUUAUGGAAAUAUUUCAUCUUGUUUUAUUGUCAGUUCAGGAACAUGAUUAUGAACAAAAAGAAAUGUUUUCGAUCAGUUUCUGUGGUAAAAGAACAUUUUGUCUGAAAUACAUGAGAGCUUCUCAAUAAGAAUGACCACCGAAUGCCAUUUUUACAUAGUAUGGUUUGAUUUGAGUUCAGAAUAAGGUGAAAAUAAUACGGGACAAACAGAAAUAAGGAAUGGUUUGAAAGCUGAAACAUUUCCUCCUCAUUGGAGGAGUCAAAGUUCAUGUUGAAUGUCAAGGUCACAAGAAGUAGGAAACUGCUGUCAUUGCCAACUGAAGACUUUGCCAGUUGUGGGGAGACAACCUAUGUUGUACUUACUGUGUUAAUGAAAUGUUGCGUGUGGACAUCUUGUGUGUCUUGUUUUACAGAAUAGUAUCUUUAUCUGAAUGUACUGCUCAACGCUUGAUAAGGAUCGGGUGUUUCCAAAUGGGGCCUGACAACCUGCUCCAGUAUGUUGUCACGCAAAUAGUAUUUACAGUGUUUGCCCUCGGCAUAAACAUUUAGGAGUCAUCAUGUCUCCCUGUAGUUACCUGGCAAACAUUAAACUAUUAAGUUUCAAACAACAGCAAAUUACAAGUUUAGAUUAUCUGAAGUAAGGGCCCAGUAGCAUUAUGUCAACAAUGACUCAGGCUUCUAUAUUCACUGCGUAUUUGAGAUAUGUUGUGCGUCAAAUACGCAGGUUUUCUACAUCAUGGCAAACACUGUAUUCACGAUUGUCCGCAAACUGAAGUGUGUAGCUAUUUUCAGGUUGAUUAGACUUCUAUCACACAGUUCAGACACAGAUCUUGUUAUCAUGUUUGCGUAAAAUAUCUGAGUGUCCUUAUCAAAUGGUGAGAAGUAUAUUUUAGUUGCUUUGGUAUGUCUGGACUUUGUCACGUUGUUUGUCGAUAUAUGACAUUUUCAUAUUUAUACCUGUCAGUAUGUGACAUAUUUUUGACUGUUGAUAUUUAACAUUGUCAUAUUUUCGUCUGUCAGCGUGUCACAUUGUCAUAUUUGUGCUAGUCAAUAUCUGACAAGGGUUUUAGACGGUUCGUAUGACAUCAUCACAUUAAGGCAGUCUGUGUAUGACAUGGGUCUGACUGUUGAUAUACAACAUUGUCAUAUUUUUAUCUGUUUAUAUAUGGCAUUGUCACAUAAUGUAAAUAUUUGACUUCGUCACAAUACUGUCUGCCGCUGUACUACAUUGUCAUGAUCGUUUCUGCCAGAGUCGGACAUUGUCACAUCUCUGUCAGUUUCACGUGACUUGGUGUUCUGACUGGACUGUCGCUGUGAUGCCACCCCCUCCAGUCAACGCCACCCCCCCCUGUUGUUUUCUGACGAGCUCCUACUGUUGUACAUACUGCUUUGUUUCUGUGGAAGGGUGGGCGGAGAAGGUUAAUGCUUCUCGGCCAUGUACGAAAGUCAACAAUGUGUAUAUAUACAUGAAGCUAUUCCUUAUAUUGGGUGGGCUUGUGCCCAACCCUAAACUGUUGUUAUCCAUGUCGAGAUAACCCAGGAUCUGUGUGGGGUCAUGUCCACGCCACCUUCCUCCUCCGUCACACUGCCCACCUGUCUUUAUGGCCCCCAAGCGGCGCCCCUGCCUCCUACACUCAGCCCACUCUAUCCUCAUUCCACUUGUCAACUGUGUUUAUAGCAUGCUGGAUAUUGUUGUGAUAAUCCAAUCCAGUAUUAAUUGUAGCGCUGUCUGAAAUAUAUAAACAGAAAGUCACUCUGCAAGAACUCUUUAAACUCCAAUAACUAAGAGUAAAUUGGAUUUCUUCCAUUGAAAAUGAAAAAUUCCUCAGGCUUUAUGAACAUUGAUGAAUAGAUUUGAAUUAAGAAUGUAAAAAGAGAUUUAUGAGAUGUAUCUGAAACUGGCCAUGGACAGCAUAGUUAAUGGAGAGCAUAGUAACUAGUUACACUGGGGUUUGGGGUUGCAUUCUUCAAAAUUUGGCAAGACAGAAUUUAUUAGGUGAAUCAGUUAUUCAAUACAGCAUUGCAAGCAAUAGAUCACAAUCUUAUCACUCCCUCACUCACACACACACACACACAGUGUGUCUGGUUUUAGGGACACAACAGUUUUGUCAGCAAUAGAGAACAUUGUAUCCAUUCAUAUGAAUACACAUGCACCAACACGCACGCACACAUUCACCUGUAUCCUGGUAUCGGAGACACAACAGCUUUGCCAGCAAUAGAGUGAGUGAGUUUAGUUUUACACCGCUUUUAGCAAUAUUCCAGCAAUAUCACGGCGGGGAACACCAGGAAUGGGCUUCACAUUGUCAGCAAUAGAACAUUCUAUCCAUUCAAAUGUAUACAUACACGCACCAUCAGUAUCUGGUAUCAGAGAUACUAGGAGGUCAGCAAUAGAGAACAUUCUUUCCAUACACGACGCACACACACACACACACACACAGAUGAGAUGCUACGACUCCCAGCAAUAGCAGACAUUCCUGGUUGAUCCUUCAGAAUAUAGCACUUCUCCGGCAGGUGCUAUACAAUACCUCAUGAUGCAUUAUUUGACAUGAGCUGAGAUAUUUAUACUGAUGCUAAAUAAUAAGGGAAUGUUUCUGUUGUAGUGAAACAUCAUUUAAGCGUAAAUGGUUUUAUCAAACCACAGUGUUCUGCCAUUAUGUUCCUUUACUUCUGUCCCUGAGUAUAUGUGAGGCAGGAGCCGCUGCAGGUGGCAUGAUCCCAGUCAGACUGAGUUAUCUCCCCUCAACCCCAGCAGGUGUCGUGCUGGACUUCUUCCCUCGUCGCCUACAACUGAAGGGAAUAAACAGAAUUAUUAUUGUA